GAUACAUUAAGGGUAUCUAAUCAUACUAACCAGGUACAUACACCUGCUCAUGUGGUAUAUACAUACAUUUUCUGUUUCCCCCUGGGUAUAUCCUUAACGUACUGGCAAUUAGAGACUAUAGGUUUCCAACAGGUAUUCUCCUUUCUUGGCAUCUACACCUGUCAUAUAGUGGUCACGUGAGGCCAACACCCCACCUCAACGCUCGGAGGCAAACACCCAUCGGGCGCCUCGUGAGCUAGCCGCCUCACCUGUCACUCCCUUCCCCUUUUUUCUGGUUACAGUCACCGAGGCCAACAUCCUGCAACUACGUUUGGUGGCCACAAAAAUCCCCUCGCACCAUUGCAUAGAUAGAGCCUCUCAAGCCACUUGGCAACUAGCAGGGCCUCAUCUGUCACCAAACAAAGGAUUAAUUGUUUCGCCAGGCGGCUUUAGCUAGCAAGCCAGUACUAGCACACUGUGGGUUCAUAUAAUAAUGGCUUUUGUUGUUUUUUUAGUAUGUAUCAAGCAGGUGGUAAGGAUUUCUCUCUACCUAGCACUCCAGCUAGAGUCAACACACUUUCACUUGGAGGAAAUGUUGCUAGUCCCACACGACAAUUUUCUCCUAACACAGCAGACGAUCACGUUUCAGGCUCCAGGCUCUAGCACCUCUGGUAGUACGUAGAAAACUACCAGAGACAAAUUGGGUCGUCUCAUUCUCUGUGGCAAAUCCCAUAUUUGCAACAAUUUCCAUGUUGGCACAUGUAGUUUCAGUGCAUGCAGUUCUCAAUAUGUCAGGGCACGUGCAAAAACCAUGUGUCCCAAUAAAUGAACCCUGAACCUUACUUCACGUCUUUAAACAUUAUGAAUUUCCAGUACUUUCUAACUCAUCACCUUUCCAGACAUUUAGUUGAUUUCCUAAUCUCCUAUUUUUAAAGGCCUUCCGUACAGGUAUUGCCAUAUACUUUUGGGGGAAUCUAGAAUGCCCUAACUUGCAGUCAUCACAGCAGCAUCCAACAGCUGGCAUUACACUCAUGGCCCAAGAAAUGGCAGAAAGAUUUCUACCUGGGCCUCUCCGAUCUACACCAUUUACAGCGAAUCUUCCCUCACACUGUAACUGAUCAUAGACUUAUCUGCACCUCACGCCUCGGCUACCCCAAGUCUUAACUCCCUCAUACCUUCCAAGGAGUUUUCAUUACAGUAUGCCACCAUUGUUCAUACCAUUACAGCUAUCACUCAAGCCUGGUUAAGUAAAACUAAUAUCACAAACGCAUUUCAGACUGCCACCAUCCACCCUACACUGGCACUUACAGGGCAUUUAUGGACAGCAGUUAAUAUUUCUUCUCCCGCUUAACUUUCGGGUCAAGAGCAGCCCACAAUUUUCAAUAUAUUCGUUGAACUCUUUGCAAAGAGUUUGGAAGCCUUUAGUAUGUCUGAACACUUGGGUGUCCCAGUAUUCCCUAAGGUCACGGAAGACCCAGACACUAUCGUUACAUUCCUGGGCAUACAACUUGACUCGGCAUCCAUGCCAACAAGUUACCACGUGAGAAAUAGGAACAGUCGCAACAACACCAAUUACCACCUCCUGCUUGGUACUUGCAACUGCAUGGAACUACAAUCCCUACCAGGUUCCUUAAAUUUUGCCAUGCGCAUCAUACCGCAGGCCGCGCUUUCAUCUCAGAGCACUUUGCUUUUUCCACACUCCCGCAUGAUGAUCAGGGGCUGUCCCUAGACAACCAAGCCACGGCAGACCUACACAUAUGGUGGACUUUCUUAUCCACACGUAAUGGUAAACUAAUGUGGCAGCUGCCGUGACAGCCGCCAUGGCAGGGGGGUAAUUUAUGGUCAAGGUCAUGAAUUACAUGAACCUCGCCAACAUUGGUCAGACGAAUAGCCCCACCCUUCACUCCCACUGUUCAUAUUUCCUCUAUGUAAGCCCACUUUUUACCGGCCUACAGCAUACGUCGGUUUCGGCACACCUCAACCGAUUAUUCCUAAAGCUACAACUCUACAACUUACCUUAUUCUUUAUCAUAUGAGAAUGCCCCGAACAUAAAUAAGGGAACAUUAGCAUAUUCUGGC
rnacentral:lncRNA from 1 species